UUUUCUCCUCUCCCUCAGCCUAUUUGAAGGUCGAGGAAGAAACAACAAUUCCUUCACAACCUCACAAGAUGGUGUUUCACAAGGUUUCUCCUACCAUUUGCAUUCUUCUUUCAGUUUUACUUCUCUUCCUCUCUCAGGAAACCCUAUCGCGGGAAUUGAUCCAAGUUGCUCCAUAUGAAGAUAAAACUGUGCACUUGGAUGCCGGGGUAUCUCUAAGCUGUUCCAAUCGGGCCAUUAGUAAGGUGAAGCCAUGCCUACCUCCUGCCCAUAUCGUCGGUUCCCCUCCCACGUAGUAAUCUGGGUGAUGCCCUAAUGUUUUGUCCAUCAGUUACUGGGAGAUUUAAAUGGGAAAAAGAAGGAAUGAUUUCCUCUGCCGUUGUUAUGGCUUCGAAGAGAAGACUAAACUAAGUUUUCAUGUAAUGAAUAAAAUAUGUGCUGCUUUCAGCAUAGGUAGAUUGGUUGGACUAAAAGCCAACCCCCAAAACCAUCCCCAUAUGAAUGGGAGGCCCCAUAUGUUUAUGAAAUAAGUGUGAUAGAUAUGAAUGAGAAAUCAUAUGUGAAAUCAAGAGAA